rnacentral:sRNA from 1 species
UUUUUACGUUACAAUGUUAUUUUUUCUCUACUUAUUUUUUUUUCCUUAUCUAUCCUAUCGGCUGAUUCGGUUAGACUCGAUAAAAAUACACCGAAAUAUUAUAGAAUGGACUUCUCAAACAAGUAAUCAGGUCGUCUGCAUUUCUGACUAUCAGAUAAACCAGGGCCAAAGCCCAACUGACUUCUUUCCAAACAAAUGUGUUUUUGUUUUUAGAGAAAAUCGAACUCUGGAAGUUUCACUCUUUACCAAAACUUCCUUUUACCACUAGACUAUAGAUGCUUGGCUUCUCUAAAUGUAUUUUCAUUUGUUUUACUCAUACUUUAU